rnacentral:rRNA from 1 species
GAUGAACGCUGGCAGCGUGCUUAACACAUGCAAGUCGAACGGAAAGGCUCCUGCUUGCAGGGGUACUCGAGUGGCGAACGGGUGAGUAACACGUGGGUGAUCUGCCCUGCACUUCGGGAUAAGCCUGGGAAACUGGGUCUAAUACCGGAUAGGACGAUGGUUUGGAUGCCAUUGUGGAAAGUUUUUCGGUGUGGGAUGAGCUCGCGGCCUAUCAGCUUGUUGGUUGGGUAAUGGCCUACCAAGGCGUCGACGGGUAGCCGGCCUGAGAGGGUGUACGGCCACAUUGGGACUGAGAUACGGCCCAGACUCCUACGGGAGGCAGCAGUGGGGAAUAUUGCACAAUGGGCGCAAGCCUGAUGCAGCGACGCCGCGUGGGGGAUGACGGCCUUCGGGUUGUAAACUCCUUUCGCUAGGGACGAAGCGCAAGUGACGGUACCUGGAGAAGAAGCACCGGCUAACUACGUG